UACGGAGGAUGCAAGCGUUAUCCGGAAUGAUUGGGCGUAAAGCGUCCGCAGGUGGCAGUUCAAGUCUGCUGUCAAAGACCGGGGCUUAACUUCGGAAAGGCAGUGGAAACUGAACAGCUAGAGUAUGGUAGGGGCAGAGGGAAUUCCUGGUGUAGCGGUGAAAUGCGUAGAGAUCCGGAGGAACACCAGCGGCGAAGGCGGCAUCCUGGACUGGUCCUGACACUCAGGAGCGAAAGCGUGGGGAGCGAUCCGG
rnacentral:rRNA from 1 species